rnacentral:rRNA from 1 species
UACGUAGGGGGCAAGCGUUGUCCGGAAUCAUUGGGCGUAAAGAGCGUGUAGGCGGUCCGGUAAGUCAGCUGUGAAAGUCAAGGGCUCAACCCUUGAAUGCCGGUUGAUACUGUCGGGCUAGAGUCCGGAAGAGGCGAGUGGAAUUCCUGGUGUAGCGGUGGAAUGCGCAGAUAUCAGGAGGAACACCGAUGGCGAAGGCAGGUCACUGGGCCGCAACUGACGCUGAGGAGCGAAAGCAUGGGGAGCGAACAGG